GCCAGGGCAAAGUCAAACACAGGCACCUCCCACCCCUGGGAACUUUGGCCCCAGCCCUGAGAUCAGCUCAGACAGAAGACAGCGAGGCACAGUGCACAGCCCGGCAGGAAAGCAGCUGGGUCCUGAGGCUGGUGCAGACAGAACAGCCGAGCCAUUUCCUGCCCUGUGAGCUGGGCAAGCAGACACCAGUCAGUGAGAACCAACAUGAAUGGCAGCGGUCACCGGUCAGUAGGUACUGUCACGGAACCCUAACGAGGAUAAGCAGCCUGAGAUAAGAGCUAAAAGACCAAGAACUGGAAAGUCUGCGUGUCUCCAUCCCUUGGUGAUAAGGCAGAGAGUGCUUUGCUGACUCAGCCUCUCCACAGUGCCCAGCUUUCUGUGGCCUCUGUGGCUCUCGAAGGCCAGGCCUUCGCAUCAGCUGUUCCCUCUGCUAGGAACACUUAGACCUCAGUUGUAGCCACAUCAAGGACCCCUUUGGACUAUGGAAAUACUCCCCAGAUUUGGGGGGGGUGAAUGGACAUCAGACACCUUAGGAGACAUGAAUGGACGCCUGCAAUUUACCGUCAAACCAAGAGGCAGAAAAAUAAAGCAAACAGAGUACAAUAUGAGCAACGAGGAGUCUGGGUAUACAGGCGUUCUCCGUACUAUUCUGACAAGAUUAUAUGAGUCUUAAACUAUGUCAAUAACUAUAAGUAAACAUUUAAAUUAUUGGUA